GAUGAACGCUGGCGGCGUGCCUAAUACAUGCAAGUCGAGCGAACGGACGAGAAGCUUGCUUCUCUGAUGUUAGCGGCGGACGGGUGAGUAACACGUGGAUAACCUACCUAUAAGACUGGGAUAACUUCGGGAAACCGGAGCUAAUACCGGCUAAUAUUUUGAACCGCAUGGUUCAAAAGUGAAAGACGGUCUUGCUGUCACUUAUAGAUGGAUCCGCGCUGCAUUAGCUAGUUGGUAAGGUAACGGCUUACCAAGGCAACGAUGCAUAGCCGACCUGAGAGGGUGAACGGGCAAACUGGAAAUGAGACAAGGUCCAGACCCCUAAGGGAAGCAGGAGGAGGGAAACUUCCGCAAAGGGCGAAAGGCUGAAGGAGGAAAGACGGGGGAGGGAAGAAGGGCUUCGGAGCGGAAAACUCUGUUAUUAGGGAAAAAAAUAUGUGAAAGUAACUGUGCACAGCUUGACGGUACCUAAUCAGAAAGCCACGGCUAACUACGUG
rnacentral:rRNA from 1 species